UGGGGAAUAUUGGACAAUGGGCGCAAGCCUGAUCCAGCCAUGCCGCGUGUGUGAAGAAGGCCUUCGGGUUGUAAAGCACUUUUGUCCGGAACGAAAUCCUGUCGGUUAAUACCCGGCGGGGAUGACGGUACCGGAAGAAUAAGCACCGGCUAACUUCGUGCCAGCAGCCGCGGUAAUACGAAGGGUGCAAGCGUUACUCGGAAUUACUGGGCGUAAAGCGUGCGUAGGUGGUCUGUUAAGUCUGAUGUGAAGGCCCUGGGCUCAACCUGGGAACUGCAUUGGAUACUGGCAGUCUGGAGUGCGGUAGAGGGUAGCGGAAUUCCCGGUGUAGCAGUGAAAUGCGUAGAUAUCGGGAGGAACAUCCGUGGCGAAGGCGGCUACCUGGACCAGCACUGACACUGAGGCACGAAAGCGUGGGGAGCAAACAGGAUUAGAUACCCUGGUAGUCCACGCCCUAAACGAUGCGAAGCUGGAUGUUGGGAGCAACUAGGCUCUCAGUAUCGAAGCUAACGCGUUAAGUUCGCCGCCUGGGAAGUACGGUCGCAA
rnacentral:rRNA from 1 species